AAGACUAUAGACCUGCGGAGUACCUGCGGAAGGAUCAUUAUCGAGUUUACAACUCCCAAACCAUUGUGAAUCUUACCUUUUCGUUGCUUCGGCGGGAUCGCCCCGGGCGCUUCGGUGCCCCGGAUUCAGGCGCCCGCCGGGGGACCUAAACUCUUGUAUUAUAGUGGAUUUCUGAGUGGAUUACACAAAUAAUCAAAACUUUUAGCAAUGGAUCUCU
rnacentral:misc_RNA from 1 species